UCAGCAGACGCUCUUAUCCACAGCGAAUUACAGUCAGUGCAUCCAAAUAAGGUAGACCUCUUUUCAACUUUCAUUCAGAACCAAAAAUGAACCUUAUUUCUACAUCUGGAAAAUACGUCUUUUCAACGUAAUUUCUCUCACUGGGGACUAUGACUGAUAACAAAAACUGCGUGUUUCAGUCAAAUAUGAAAUGAGAAGACAUCAUAUAAAUCCAACAGGCGCUGGCUGACAACGAGGUAUUUCAUGUUUGUGGCUGACGAUUAAACAGAGACCCCAAUCAUAUUGGGAUUGGUGAAGACAGUUAGUGAAGGUAUCCUCCAUUUGAUCAAUUGUGGGGAACCACAAAAGAAAACACUCGUCUGGGAAAUUGAACUGUUGUCACUCACCUACAUGUGAAGUUGUCUCUGUUGUGGAAGCGUCAUGUCAGACAUGACAUAACAGCAUAUUGACAGGGUGUUAAAUUCCAAUUCCCAGCACGCCAGCAAUAGAGUGGAAAGCGUUGCAUGUUAGAUACGUCGUUUUUAUUCAAGGCUAUGCCCGAGACAAAAACAUUCACCUUUUAGCUCUGCCUCUAAAUAUACAUGCACCAAUCUGUAUGUCAGUUAAUUCAAGGUUAUUAUAAGUGCAAUUAUGUAUGACUGCCUUACGAGAACUAAUUAUUGAAGCAGCUAGCAGGCUAUUGGAGUAGGCUACUAGCCCUAGCAGUUCAGUCCUCCUCAAUGGAAACCUAACAUCACUCCGGAAGAGGUGACUGCAGUCUUUUACAUUGUACAAUUCAGAGAACAACGCAUCAUUGUGUUUUUCUUUUGUAUAUCUGACUUUUUAUCUUGGUCUCACUAUUCAGAAGUGUGGCUUCUGAACAGCAUUCCUGUGCUUCUAUUUUGAGUUACAGUAAUUCCCUCAAACACACGCCAAACAACUCAGGGAUAGGUUCUACCCUAUUUGCCUCAGUUGGUCCUAAAACAGUUCUACCUGCUUAAUUUCCUGUCUUACUGUUGACAGACAGUGGAGAUGUUUGAAGCGGUCUUUGUAUACAGGAGACGCCAUGAGGAAGUGCAGUCCCUGGACGUUUCUCCCUGCCAUGUACUCUCUCUUCACAGCUGCUGGACUCUGGGUUGUGUAUUUCAUAGCUGUUGAAGAUGAGAAGAUAACACCCCUGAGUUCAGAAUACAACCGAUCUGGCCCUAAAAUCCCCUCCAUAUAUAAGGUACAGUACACACCCUAUACUAGUACUAAUCUUUACCUCGGUUUGGUGAUCCCUGUCAAUACAAUUAUACCUCCAAGCUCGAGACCCUGGGUCUCGACCCCGCCCUGUGCAACUGGGUACUGGACUUCCUGACGGGCCGCCCCCAGGUGGUGAGGGUAGGCAACAACAUCUCCUCCCCGCUGAUCCUCAACACGGG